rnacentral:rRNA from 1 species
UACGUAGGGACCAAGCGUUGUUCGGAUUUACUGGGCGUAAGGGCGCGUAGGCGGCUUGACAAGUCACUUGUGAAAUCUCUGGGCUUAACCCAGAACGGCCAAGUGAAACUGCCGAGCUAGAGUGCAGAAGGGGCAAUCGGAAUUCUUGGUGUAGCGGUGAAAUGCGUAGAUAUCAAGAGGAACACCUGAGGUGAAGACGGGUUGCUGGGCUGACACUGACGCUGAGGCACGAAAGCCAGGGGAGCAAACGGG